GACUCUGAAAUGGUGGCUAGUAUUAUCAUGCCUCCUGUGGGUGCUCCGUGGAGGUGGAGGUAAACUACCAGGCCUCUCCACACCAGAGGGAAAUUGAGCCUAGUGGGUGAGUGUAGAAUUCAAGGGAAUUGUUUGUGGCUGGAGGAAGAGAGCUGUGUGCUUGGGGAGGUGACUGUCAGGGCAACUCUUGAUCAAUACUUGGCUGGUUCUGGGGACUUGGAGCCCAACCAGUUGGUGCAAAUUGGGGGUUGGGGAUCGGGAGGGAAGGUGGGGACUUAGAUCCUCCUGACACAGAGUUGAGAAUGAAAAAUGUUAAAACACUUGGAUAUGCAGGAAGUAGCAGGCCAGAGAGGACUCGAAGAUCCUUAGAAGGAGCCAUAGACGGAACCAUAGGAGGCGCCCAGGAGCUAUGGGCUCCAGAAGUUUCCUCCUAAACUGUGGUCUCAGCGAGGCUCAUUGACACUCACCGGGGUUUCGACAUUCUCCCUGGCUAGGGCCUGUUCUGGAAAUAGACCAAGGGGGAGAUGGAGCCCCUGGCCGUGGGACAUCCAAUCUGAUGGUGAUGAGAAGGCGCUGCCGUUUUCCUGCUCUCCGUCCGUGGGGGUGUUUGUUUACACAUCUCUCGCAAGAAAAGCGCUUCUCUCUGGCUUCCCUCUGCCUCCCCCCCUCCUUCCUGCCCUCUCCCCUGCCUUCCCUUCCUCCUUCCUUCUCUCCCUCCCUCCUUUUCUCCCCGUUCCUUUCUUCCCUUCUCUCUGUCCUUCCCCCUUCCUUCCUUUACUGAUGUAACAACCUUGGUGUGCCGUGGCUAAGCCACACUCCACCCCUGACCUGCGGGGGAUGAGUCAAACGGUCAGACUUGCCUGGGCUUGUUCCACGCUCCCCUGGCUAGACAGGCGUCUACACAUUCUCAGUUAGGGGCUGGACAGGGGCAGCUGCUAGACAGGUCCUAUUCUGGGCCUCUCUGAGAAAAAGUGUCCCUGAAAAGAAAGGGAGCUCCCACUUCCAUGGACCCUUAGCCAUGCCAAGGGGCAGUACCGGCUUUCUGCUGGUGCUGAUGAGCUGUGGUGUGAACUCACGAAGGUCAGCUGAUUCACGGGCCCUGGAUCUCUGCUCUCCUUCCGCUAAGUGGGACUCGGGCCAGCCUGCCAUGAAGGAGGUAGCUGCUGCAGCUUUCAGGAAGGAACACCAGGUGUCAACCCCACCGGGUGGCCAACCCCACCUGGCUAGGACCCAGUCCCUGGUGGCUGCUCUCCCGAGAGGCGGGCAGGGCUGGGGCUAGGGGCUGUCCAGGAGUGUUCUGGACUGUCCCUUCGCCACAAUUCCCACAGGCUGCUCAGGACCGAGGCUGAGACGGGCGACCAGGACGGGAUUGUAUGGCUGCAGGAGGCUACACAGUCCCAGGAGGCUGCUUCUAAGAGGCCCACGUGGCCUGCAUGGGGAUGCGCCUGGCUGUCCAGCAUGUGGUCAUUUGAAUUGUACAUGUUUCACUGGGAUGCCUACAGAAAAGUAGACAGAAGAUGUGGAAAAAGUUUUUGAAAUGUUGC
rnacentral:lncRNA from 1 species